rnacentral:lncRNA from 1 species
UUGCGAUAUUUUUAAUCUGUGGACAUGUAUAUAGUCUUAUAGUGGAAUUAUAUGGAGAUGAUCACUCUUGCUGAAAACGGGGAGGAAUGUUGUAUUGAUAAAGUUGGUAUUUGGUCAUACCGGAAACCGGAAAUAUAGAUCAGCUGACAGCGGGAACUUGACGAUUUGAAUCAGUUACUUGCAAACAACCUCUGUGUCUAGACGUAUACUUAGAACUAGAGACUUGAUUGAUAACCUAGUUGGUUGGAUACUCCCGACUAAAAGGUAACUCAUAUAUUCACACAUUCACACAUACUCAUUCAUUCACCAUUCGCCCAUUUACAAC